GUUUUCUAGAAAAAUUUAUAAGAUUGAAAUAAUCCAUCCUUUGAAUAUUCUACAGAACUUGCCUGAAACCAUUGGUCCCUAGUUUUUUCAAGACACUUGAAGACCUUUGCCAAAUACCAAACCGAGACCCCUGCCAUCAUUCAACACAAUUGCACAGACGCUAAUCUCUUCAUGGGAAGGCAUGCAUGCCCCACUGCAUCCCUGCAAGUGCAGAACCAGUCUUCAGCAGCGACGCUUAGCGGCUGAAGUGUGAUACAGUUCUGCCGUCCUUUGAACAGUGCAAUUCCUCAGAGUUCCUGGACAAUUCAGAAUCGGUGAACCUCAAAAGUGAAAUACUACAAUUCCUAAAAAUACAUGUAAAUGGGAUCUCAAUUGAUCUAUUGAAAAAUUAAAAUUCAUUUAUUAUUGUACCCUAAGCUGGGAAAACAGACUGUUUCCUGUACAGUGUACACAUGAUUGCACUCUUGCUGGAUUUUCAUAAUGGCUUCUUUUUUUUUUUUUUCUUGAGACAGAGUCUUGCUCUGUUGCCCAGGCUGGAGUGCAGUAGUGUGAUGUCGGCUCACUGCAACCUCUGCCUCCGGGGUUCAAGCGGUUCUUCUGCCUCAGCCUCCCAAGUAGCUGGACUUCAGGCGCACGCCAUCACACCCGGCUAAUUUUUGUGGGGUUUUUUGUUUGUUUGUUUGUUUGUUUUUUAGAUGGAGUCUCACUCUGUCACCCAGGCUGGAAUGCAGUGGCGUGAUCUCAGCUCACUGCAAGCUCCGCCUCCCGGGUUCAUGCCAUUCUCCUGCCUCAGCCUCCCGAGUAGCUGGGACUAUAGGCACCCACCACCACGCUUGGUUAAUUUUUUGUAUUUUUAGCAGAGACAGGUUUCACCAUAUUGGCCAGGCUGGUCUCAAACUCCUGACCUCAUGAUCCACCCAAGGUGCUGGGAUUACAGGUGUGAGCCACCACGCCCGGCCGAUAACUGCUUCUUAAUGACUUUCUUUGUUCCCUUUCAUUCUCUCUCUUUUCCAAUAUUUUCUCCAUAUUUGUAUAUAAAGUUAAUCUUCCUAAAAUAUCAACUUUGCCCAAAAAGUUUGCAACAGCUUAUUAUUGCCAACAAAACAGAAUCAGCUUCCUCAUCCUGUGAUUAGAUACUCUCCAUAAUCUGACUCCUAAAUCCUGAAGGGAGGUAAGAAAGAAU
rnacentral:lncRNA from 10 species